rnacentral:tRNA from 1 species
GAGGGUAUAGCUCAGAGGUAGAGUUCGUGCUUAGCGUGCACGAAGUCCUGGGUUUAAUCCCCAGUACCUCUG